UUAAGCGACUAAGCGUACACGGUGGAUGCCCUGGCAGUCAGAGGCGAUGAAGGACGUGCUAAUCUGCGAUAAGCGUCGGUGAGGUGAUAUGAACCGUUAUAACCGGCGAUUUCCGAAUGGGGAAACCCAGUGUGUUUCGACACACUAUCAUUAACUGAAUCCAUAGGUUAAUGAGGCGAACCGGGGGAACUGAAACAUCUAAGUACCCCGAGGAAAAGAAAUCAACCGAGAUUCCCCCAGUAGCGGCGAGCGAACGGGGAGGAGCCCAGAGCCUGAAUCAGUGUGUGUGUUAGUGGAAGCGUCUGGAAAGGCGCGCGAUACAGGGUGACAGCCCCGUACACAAAAAUGCACAUAUUGUGAGCUCGAUGAGUAGGGCGGGACACGUGGUAUCCUGUCUGAAUAUGGGGGGACCAUCCUCCAAGGCUAAAUACUCCUGACUGACCGAUAGUGAACCAGUACCGUGAGGGAAAGGCGAAAAGAACCCCGGCGAGGGGAGUGAAAAAGAACCUGAAACCGUGUACGUACAAGCAGUGGGAGCCUCUUAAUGGGGUGACUGCGUACCUUUUGUAUAAUGGGUCAGCGACUUAUAUUCUGUAGCAAGGUUAACCGAAUAGGGAGCCGAAGGGAAACCGAGUCUUAACUGGGCGUUAAGUUGCAGGGUAUAGACCCGAAACCCGGUGAUCUAGCCAUGGGCAGGUUGAAGGUUGGGUAACACUAACUGGAGGACCGAACCGACUAAUGUUGAAAAAUUAGCGGAUGACUUGUGGCUGGGGUGAAAGGCCAAUCAAACCGGGAGAUAGCUGGUUCUCCCCGAAAGCUAUUUAGGUAGCGCCUCGUGAAUUCAUCUCCGGGGUAGAGCACUGUUUCGGCAAGGGGUCAUCCCGACUUACCAACCCGAUGCAAACUGCGAAUACCGGAGAAUGUUAUCACGGGAGACACACGGCGGGUGCUAACGUCCGUCGUGAAGAGGGAAACAACCCAGACCGCCAGCUAAGGUCCCAAAGUCAUGGUUAAGUGGGAAACGAUGUGGGAAGGCCCAGACAGCCAGGAUGUUGGCUUAGAAGCAGCCAUCAUUUAAAGAAAGCGUAAUAGCUCACUGGUCGAGUCGGCCUGCGCGGAAGAUGUAACGGGGCUAAACCAUGCACCGAAGCUGCGGCAGCGACACUAUGUGUUGUUGGGUAGGGGAGCGUUCUGUAAGCCUGUGAAGGUGUACUGUGAGGUAUGCUGGAGGUAUCAGAAGUGCGAAUGCUGACAUAAGUAACGAUAAAGCGGGUGAAAAGCCCGCUCGCCGGAAGACCAAGGGUUCCUGUCCAACGUUAAUCGGGGCAGGGUGAGUCGACCCCCUAAGGCGAGGCCGAAAGGCGUAGUCGAUGGGAAACAGGUUAAUAUUCCUGUACUUGGUGUUACUGCGAAGGGGGGGACGGAGAAGGCUAUGUUGGCCGGGCGACGGUUGUCCCGGUUUAAGCGUGUAGGCUGGUUUUCCAGGCAAAUCCGGAAAAUCAAGGCUGAGGCGUGAUGACGAGGCACUACGGUGCUGAAGCGACAAAUGCCCUGCUUCCAGGAAAAGCCUCUAAGCAUCAGGUAACAUCAAAUCGUACCCCAAACCGACACAGGUGGUCAGGUAGAGAAUACCAAGGCGCUUGAGAGAACUCGGGUGAAGGAACUAGGCAAAAUGGUGCCGUAACUUCGGGAGAAGGCACGCUGAUAUGUAGGUGAAGCGACUUGCUCGUGGAGCUGAAAUCAGUCGAAGAUACCAGCUGGCUGCAACUGUUUAUUAAAAACACAGCACUGUGCAAACACGAAAGUGGACGUAUACGGUGUGACGCCUGCCCGGUGCCGGAAGGUUAAUUGAUGGGGUUAGCGGUAACGCGAAGCUCUUGAUCGAAGCCCCGGUAAACGGCGGCCGUAACUAUAACGGUCCUAAGGUAGCGAAAUUCCUUGUCGGGUAAGUUCCGACCUGCACGAAUGGCGUAAUGAUGGCCGGGCUGUCUCCACCCGAGACUCAGUGAAAUUGAACUCGCUGUGAAGAUGCAGUGUACCCGCGGCAAGACGGAAAGACCCCGUGAACCUUUACUAUAGCUUGACACUGAACAUUGAGCCUUGAUGUGUAGGAUAGGUGGGAGGCUUUGAAGUGUGGACGCCAGUCUGCAUGGAGCCGACCUUGAAAUACCACCCUUUAAUGUUUGAUGUUCUAACGUGGGCCCCUUACCGGGGUUGCGGACAGUGUCUGGUGGGUAGUUUGACUGGGGCGGUCUCCUCCUAAAGAGUAACGGAGGAGCACGAAGGUUGGCUAAUCCUGGUCGGACAUCAGGAGGUUAGUGCAAUGGCAUAAGCCAGCUUGACUGCGAGCGUGACGGCGCGAGCAGGUGCGAAAGCAGGUCAUAGUGAUCCGGUGGUUCUGAAUGGAAGGGCCAUCGCUCAACGGAUAAAAGGUACUCCGGGGAUAACAGGCUGAUACCGCCCAAGAGUUCAUAUCGACGGCGGUGUUUGGCACCUCGAUGUCGGCUCAUCACAUCCUGGGGCUGAAGUAGGUCCCAAGGGUAUGGCUGUUCGCCAUUUAAAGUGGUACGCGAGCUGGGUUUAGAACGUCGUGAGACAGUUCGGUCCCUAUCUCGCCGUGGGCGCUGGAGAACUGAGGGGGCUGCUCCUAGUACGAGAGGACCGGAGUGGACGCAUCACUGGUGUUCGGGUUGUCAUGCCAAUGGCACUGCCCGGUAGCUAAAUGCGGAAGAGAUAAGUGCUGAAAGCAUCUAAGCACGAAACUUGCCCCGAGAUGAGUUCUCCCUGACUCCUUGAGAGUCCUGAAGGAACGUUGAAGACGACGACGUUGAUAGGCCGGGUGUGUAAGCGCAGCGAUGCGUUGAGCUAACCGGUACUAAUGAACCGUGAGGCUUAACCU
rnacentral:rRNA from 1 species